rnacentral:rRNA from 1 species
CUACGGAGGGAGCAAGCGUUAUUCGGAAUCACUGGGCGUAAAGGACGCGUAGGCGGGUUUGUAAGUCAGGUGUGAAAUCCUACAGCUCAACUGUAGAACUGCACUUGAAACUACAGACCUAGAGUAUGGAAGGGGCAGAUGGAAUUAGUGGUGUAGGGGUAAAAUCCGUAGAUAUCACUAGGAAUACCGAAAGCGAAGGCGAUCUGCUGGGACAUUACUGACGCUGAGGCGUGAAAGCGUGGGGAGCAAACAGGAGUAGAUACCCUAGUAGUCC